CAGGAGGAAGCUGAAAAUCCGUAAGAGAGUAGGCA
ncrna:unclassified sequences DTF805b RNA